rnacentral:rRNA from 1 species
CCUACGGGAGGCAGCAGUGAGGAAUAUUGGUCAAUGGCCGUAAGGCUGAACCAGCCAAGUCGCGUGAAGGAAGAAGGAUCUAUGGUUUGUAAACUUCUUUUAUAGGGGAAUAAAGGUAUCCACGUGUGGAUAUUUGCAUGUACCCUAUGAAUAAGCAUCGGCUAACUCCGUGCAGCAGCCGCGGUAAUACGGGGGAUGCGAGCGUUAGCCGGAUUUAUUGGGGUUAAAGGGUGCGUAGGUUGUUUUUUAAGUCAGCGGUGAAAGUUUGUGGCUCAACCAUAAAAUUGCCGUUGAAAAUGGAAGAUUUAAGUGUGUUUGAGGUAGGCGGAAUGCGUGGUGUAGCGGAGAAAUGCAUAGAUAGCACGCAGAACUCCGAUUGCGAAGGCAGCUUACUAAGCCAUAACUGACACUGAAGCACGAAAGCGUGGGGAUCAAACAGGAUUAGAUACCCGGGUAGUC